rnacentral:tRNA from 1 species
UGUGGUGUAGCUCAGUGGCAGAGCACUUGCCUAGCAUGUGUGGGGUACUGGGUUUGAUCCUUAGCACCACAU